CAGCGCAGUGUAGCAAUACAUGGGCGGCGACCGGCAAACGGGUGCGGAACACGUACGCAACCUUCCCAGAACUGGUGAAUAGCCUUUCGAAAGAGAGAUUAAUACACCGUAACUUAAUGAAGUGGCAUCAUUUUAUUAAUAUAGUUCCGACGGUUCUGGAUGGGCGUGCGCCUGAUUAGGUAGUUGGCGGGGUAACGGCCCACCAAGCCUACGAUCAGUAACUGGUGUGAGAGCACGACCAGUCACACGGGCACUGAGACACGGGCCCGACUCCUACGGGAGGCAGCUGUAAGGAAUAUUGGUCAAUGGACGCAAGUCUGAACCAGCCAUGCCGCGUGGAGGAUGAAGGUCCUCUGGAUUGUAAACUUCUUUUAUCGGAGAAGAAACCCAGACAUUCUUGUUUGGUUGACGGUACCCGAUGAAUAAGCACCGGCUAACUCCGUGCCAGCAGCCGCGGUAAUACGGAGGGUGCAAGCGUUAUCCGGAUUCACUGGGUUUAAAGGGUGCGUAGGUGGGCUAGUAAGUCCGUGGUGAAAUCUCUGAGCUUAACUCGGAAACUGCCGUGGAUACUAUUAGUCUUGAAUCUCGUGGAGGUAAGCGGAAUAUGUCAUGUAGCGGUGAAAUGCUUAGAUAUGACAUAGAACACCGAUAGCGAAGGCAGCUUGCUACACGAGUAUUGACACUGAGGCACGAAAGCGUGGGGAUCAAACAGGAUUAGAUACCCUGGUAGUCCACGCCCUAAACGAUGGAUACUCGACAUACGCGAUACACAGUGUGUGUCUGAGCGAAAGCAUUAAGUAUCCCACCUGGGAAGUACGACCGCAA
rnacentral:rRNA from 1 species